ensembl:lncRNA
CUGUUCUGGGUAGCUGGGGAAGGCUUCCUGGAGGACACAGCAUCCGGACCAGUCUUAAAGAUGAGGAGCAAGUUUUCCAUUUCUCAGCCUGAACAAACAUAAGGAUGUGUGACAACCCUGGAGUAAAGUCUGAAUGGGGACAAGGCACAAAAACUGAGGACUGAGAAAUAAGUUGGAGUUAGAUUUCAAAAGAAGGAACCCUGACAACUCUAUGAAAGAAGAAGUAGAGAAUUGAGAGACUGGAGAGAGAAGAUAAAUUGGCUGUCACCAUAGUCCACGUGAAAAAUAAUAAGUGCCUGGACCAAGGCAGUGGUAGUGAGCAUGGAAGGGGUAAGCCUGAAAUUCCAGAGACUUUCCAGAAGUAGAUGGAUAGAACUUGGUAAUGGCUGCAUACUGGAGAUUAAAGAGACAGGAGUUUUAACGACAUCUACAACAGAUGUGGACAUGAUAGCCAAUCUGACAGAAGAGGAAGAGCAGUCCUGUGGACACAGUAUUGAAUUUAAUUUUGGACAGGCUGAUCUGCAGCGCUGAGGAGUCAUCCAAAUGGAGAUGUGCAAUAAAUAGUUGUGCAUUCUGGUCUGGAGCCCAAGAGUCAGAGAUGAAGAUAAAAGGUGAAUGCCUGUAAAGAAUUAUCCCAACACAGCAAUAGUUGCUACUGACUGACACUGAUUAUGUGCCAGUCACGAUCUAAAAGCUUUAAUACAUUGUUUUAUGUAACUCUGUCACUGUCUUCCUGUUGAAGCUGGGAAACCUCAGAGAACCUGAAUAACUACCCAUAAAGAAAGUGAAUUUCACUCCUUAGAGGGAGAGCAUACAAGGUCAGUUGAGAAGAUGUUACUGUGAGUAACAGGAAGGUAAACUCAAACUCUGUAAUUUAUUGUAUUCACAUCAUUGAAAUGUCCCCAAGUAGGAUAGGUCCGGCUGAAAUUUGGCCCUAAACCUCAACCAUGUCUCAUAAGAACCAGCUUCCAUUCGACUCGUGCUCUGCCGUCCACAGGUUUACUCUGACUGACCAGUUUAAACCAUAUGCUCACUUCCUCCCAAUUAACUUGGCUGGAGGAACAUGCUGCGCUGACUCACUUAUACCUGGUUUCAUGUUCAUCCUGGUGAACCAGCCACUAUAGCCAGAAAGGAGGAUGGAUUAUGCUAAUUGGCAAAGGCCUAGCAGGGCCUGAUCUUGCUUUGUUGAUAUGGGCAUCAAUCCCAUUCAAAUUUUAGGAUUGGAAAAAGUUGAGUUCUUUAGGAAGGGAAAGGGGAUGAAGGGGAGACAAAUAACUUACCAAACAGAGUAACCAUGAAAGAGGAGCAAAGAUGAAAUUCUGGAAGGCACUAUACUUAAGGGACAGGUAAAAGAGGCGACAGUCUGCAAGAGAAUGCGAAAGAAUGAGGAAAUAAGAGGAAACCUGGGGAGAGCAGUGUCUCAGACACGGAAGACAGAGGAGUUCCAGGGUGCGCUGGAGGCUGACUGCAGAAAAGUCCCUUUGUGUUAGUUCUUGGGAAGGGAUUCAGCCAUUACUAAACAUUGC